AUACCUAACUGGUGAAUUCUCUCCUGCCCCUUCACCGCCGUAGCUGCUGUGUAGUGGGAGUACUGGUGCAGAAUGGCUGCCAUCACACCAUCCAGGUGGGGACUACACAGUGGUCGAAGUGGCUCCCCAUUGCUUGUCUAGCCUCCUGUGGACGGGAGUGGUUGGGGGCAGCUGAGGACAGAUGAUCCCCACUGAGAAGCCUCACAGCAGGGCCAGGGCAGCACUUCCAGCACAGGGCUCUGGGGCCUAACCAGGCUACGUACUAUGAAAGUGUCAGCAGACAAACCGGAUUGUGAGGAAUAAAGUGAGUGAUUGUCAUAGCCGCCGGACUCGACGCCCAGGAGCGCCACGUCGCUCUUUUACCCCACAGGACAUCGAAGGAGAGGAAUAAGGGACACGAAAGAACACCGAU